rnacentral:rRNA from 1 species
GACGAACGCUGGCGGCGUGCUUAACACAUGCAAGUCGAACGGAAAGGCCCUGCUUUUGUGGGGUGCUCGAGUGGCGAACGGGUGAGUAACACGUGAGUAACCUGCCCUUGACUUUGGGAUAACUUCAGGAAACUGGGGCUAAUACCGGAUAGGAGCUCCUGCUGCAUGGUGGGGGUUGGAAAGUUUCGGCGGUUGGGGAUGGACUCGCGGUUUAUCAGCUUGUUGGUGAGGUGGUGGCUUACCAAGGCUUUGACGGGUAGCCGGACUGAGAGGGUGACAGGCCACAUUGGGCCUGGGAUACGGCCCAGACUCAUACGGGCGGCAGGAGUGGGGAAUAUUGCAAACUGGGCGGAAGCCUGAUGCAGCAACGCCGCGUGCGGGAUGACGGCUUUCGGGUUGUAAACCGCUUUCGCCUGUGACGAAGCGUGAGUGACGGUAAUGGGUAAAGAAGCACCGGCUAACUACGU